rnacentral:antisense_RNA from 10 species
UAGAAAGUUACUCCUUUGUGAGUGAUUUUAAGGUGGCAUAGAGAAAGUGAUUUUGCGGUCAUAAUUUCUCUAUGCUUUUAUUAUACCA